AGUAGUUUGACUCCGUGGCUACAGAACGAACGCUGGCGGCAUGCCUAACACAUGCAAGUCGAACGAGACCUUCGGGUCUAGUGGCGCACGGGUGCGUAACGCGUGGGAACCUGCCUUUAGGUUCGGAAUAACUCAGAGAAAUUUGAGCUAAUACCGGAUAAUGUCUUCGGACCAAAGAUUUAUCGCCUUUAGAUGGGCCCGCGUAAGAUUAGCUAGUUGGUGGGUAAAGGCCUACCAAGGCGACGAUCUUUAGCUGGUCUGAGAGGAUGAUCAGCCACACUGGGACUGAGACACGGCCCAGACUCCUACGGGAGGCAGCAGUGGGAAUAUUGGACAAUGGGCGAAAGCCUGAUCCAGCAAUGCCGCGUGAGUGAUGAAGGCCUUAGGGUUGUAAAGCUCUUUUACCCGAGAUGAUAAUGACAGUAUCGGGAGAAUAAGCUCCGGCUAACUCCGUG
rnacentral:rRNA from 1 species